UCACCCCACCGACGUGCCUGACUCACACCGUAAAAUGGACGAGUUCCCGGGAUUGGCUGCGCCCGGCCGCCCGCUCCUCCCUCCGCCCCGGCUGCUCCCGCCUCCCGCCACUGCCUCCGUCCCUCGCCGCCUCCUCCCCGGCGGGCCGCGCUCCCCUCUCCCUCGCCCCGACCUCGGCUUCCUCCUGCCUGUUGCCUCUGCUUUCGCCCGGCGGCUCCCCUUCCUCCUCCUCCUCCUCCUCCUCCUGCUCCUCGCAGCGCCCGCGGUUCGCCCGGCCGCCCCCGCCCUCCCCUCAGUGCCACCGGCGGCGAGGAGGCGAAGGGCCCGAGGGACUUCGCCGCUCUCCGCGCUGCUCGGGCCCGGCGUGCCCGCCUGUCACCGCCGUGCUGCUCCCAGGCCCGGUUCCACGGGCGGCCUUAACUUGAUAAACUAGUUUCUCAAGCGCUGUGGCAGCAGGUGGUAGUCGGCCAAGAAAUUGCAGUGGCCUGCCUCUUACCCGCGCACCAUAAAAGGCCGAAGUUGUGAGGGUUUUCAGCUCAGCUGCAGUCGAAGCAUGGGGUGAUGCGAAGCUGAAGGGGACAGAAUGAAAUAUUAAAAUAGUCUUGAUCAUUCAGAAGCAUGUUUUUAAAAAAAAAAAAAUAAAGAAGAUAUUCAGUGAGAUCAAGUUGCAUCCAGCACGUUACACUGGUAUGAGGCACCUGGUGUAAAUCAUUGCUGCCUUUCCUUUUCCCCUUGCUACUUAUUUUCUCUCUCACUGUCUGUUGUGGUUUAACCCCAGCCAGCAGCUCUGCCCCACGCAGCUGCUCACUCGCCUCCCCCCGGUGGGGUGGGGGAGAGAAUCGGAAGGGUAAAAGUGAGAAAGCUCGUCGGGUGAGAUAAAGACAGUUUAACAGGUAAAGCAAAACCCGUGCACACAAGCAAACAAAAUGAGGAAUUCAUGCCGCCCUUCCCACAGGCAGGCAGGUACUCAGCCACCCCCAGAAGAUCAGGGCUCCAUCACGCGUAACGGUGGCUUGGGAAGACAAACACCAUCGCUCCAAAUGCCCCCCCUUCCCCCAGCUCUAUAUGCUGAGCAUGACGCCAUGUGGUGUGGGACAUCCCUGGAGUCAGCUGGGGUCACUGUCCCAGCCAUGUCCCCUCCCAGCUCCUUGUGCACCCCCAGCUCCUCACUGGUGGGGUGGGGUGAGGGGCAGAAAAGGCCUUGGCUCUGUGCAAGCCCUGCUCAGCAGGAAUGAAAACAUCCCCUUGUUAUCAACACUGUCUCCAGCACAACUCCACAGCCCCAACCGCUAUGAAGAAAAUUAACUCUACCCAAGUCAAACCCAGCACGUUCUCCAUCCCUUUUCCUGCUCCCCACCCCCUGAGAUGUUUAUCUGCCUGCCAGAUUAAACCACAAUGCUGUCUUAUGCCAGCAUAAGCUUUUCUGGGGCUAUGUGGUUGACUGUAUGAGAAAGCUGAGUAACAUUACAAUUAUAAUUCCAGAGGUUGUCAUAACCUGGGGCACUUAGCUGAUCUAUUUGAUGCUAGUCUGGGUCAUAGUGAUGGAUGAGCUGACCUGCUGAUUUCUUGUUUUUCUGUGAUUUUCCACUCAUUAGAAAGAAGGAACAUAGUUGAUAUAAAAGUGGACAUCCUAGUACGAUUGAUAUUUCUUUGCAACAGCACAAUAUCAUUAGUUCGCGUUCAGAUUGUCAUCCACUAUAAAUCUGGAAGGUCUGGUUUUCUGAUCUUGAUCUGCUGGGUGGCUCAGGCACACUUCCUUCAUUCUCUCUGUUUCAGUUUCUUCAGCGUUUUUGAAAAGUACUCUGAAAUCUGUGAAUAAGAAUUUAGUAUUAUUGACUGAACAGUAUACUGUUGCUCUUUUCUGUUUGUCAAUCAUUUUUUCUCAUCCUUUCACUAAUUGAGGCUCUUCCUAAGAUCCAUUGUAAACAUAUAUAUCUCCUAUGUCAAUAGAAAUGGUUCUCUAAAAGCAAUAAAUUCCUGUAACUAAAAUGUU